rnacentral:rRNA from 1 species
AUUGAACGCUGGCGGCAUGCCUUACACAUGCAAGUCGAACGGCAGCGCGGACUUCGGUCUGGCGGCGAGUGGCGAACGGGUGAGUAAUACAUCGGAACGUACCCUGUUGUGGGGGAUAACUAGUCGAAAGAUUAGCUAAUACCGCAUACGACCUGAGGGUGAAAGAGGGGGACCGCAAGGCCUCACGCCGCAGGAGCGGCCGAUGUCUGAUUAGCUAGUUGGUGGGGUAAGGGCCCACCAAGGCGACGAUCAGUAGCUGGUCUGAGAGGACGAUCAGCCACACUGGGACUGAGACACGGCCCAGACUCCUACGGGAGGCAGCAGUGGGGAAUUUUGGACAAUGGGGGCAACCCUGAUCCAGCAAUGCCGGGUGUGUGAAGAAGUCCUUCGGGUUGUAAAGCACUUUUGUCCGGAAAGAAAUCGCGCUGGUUAAUACCUGGCGUGGAUGACGGUACCGGAAGAAUAAGCACCGGCUAACUACGUG